rnacentral:rRNA from 1 species
AAUAUUAAACAAUGGGCGAAAGCCUGAUCCAGCCAUGCCGCGUGUGUGAAGAAGGUCUUCGGAUUGUAAAACACUCUAAGUAGGGAGGAAGGGCAGUAAGCGAAUGCCUUGCUGUUUUGACGUUACCUACAGAAUAAGCACCGGCUAACUUUGUGCCAGCAGCCGCGGUAAUACAGAAGGUGCAAGCGUUAACCGGAAUUACUGGGCGUAAAGCGCGCGUAGGUGGUUCGUUAAGUUGGAUGUGAAAUCCCCGGGCUCAACCUGGGAACUGCAUCCAAAACUGGCGAGCUAGAGUAGGGCAGAGGGUGGUGGAAUUUCCUGUGUAGCGGUGAAAUGCGUAGAUAUAGGAAGGAACACCAGUGGCGAAGGCGACCACCUGGGCUCAUACUGACACUAAGGUGCGAAAGCGUGGGGAGCAAAC